UGAUACCAAUUUCUCGAGAUGAUAAAAUUGGAACAAUACAGAGAGAAGAUUAGCAUGGCCCCUGCACAAGGAUGACAUGCAUAAAUCAAGAAAUUGGUGUCAGAGUC